GACGAACGCUGGCGGCGUGCUUAACACAUGCAAGUCGAACGGAAAGGCCCUGCUUUUGUGGGGUGCUCGAGUGGCGAACGGGUGAGUAACACGUGAGUAACCUGCCCUUGACUUUGGGAUAACUUCAGGAAACUGGGGCUAAUACCGGAUAGGAGCUCCUGCUGCAUGGUGGGGGUUGGAAAGUUUCGGCGGUUGGGGAUGGACUCGCGGCUUAUCAGCUUGUUGGUGGGGUAGUGGCUUACCAAGGCUUUGACGGGUAGCCGGCCUGAGAGGGUGACCGGCCACAUUGGGACUGAGAUACGCCCCAGACUCCUACGGGAGGCAGUAGUGGAGAAUAUUGCACAAUGGGCGGAAGCCUGAUGCAGCAACGCCGCGUGCGGGAUGACGGCCUUCGGGUUGUAAACCGCUUUCGCCUGUGACGAGGCGUGAGUGACGGUAAUGGGUAAAGAAGCACCGGCUAACUACGUG
rnacentral:rRNA from 1 species